CUGUAACGCGCCGGCGGGCCGGCCGGUUUUUGACCGGUCUAAGCAAGUGCUUGCCCCGCAACGGUUUUUUUCCGCUGUUACAGACC
rnacentral:tRNA from 1 species